UACGUAGGGACCGAGCGUUGUCCGGAAUCAUUGGGCGUAAAGAGCGUGUAGGCGGCCUUCUAAGUCGAACGUGAAAUCCCCGGGCUCAACCCGGGAACUGCGUCCGAUACUGGAAGGCUUGAAUCCGGGAGAGGGAUGCGGAAUUCCAGGUGUAGCGGUGAAAUGCGUAGAUAUCUGGAGGAACACCGGUGGCGAAGGCGGCAUCCUGGACCGGCAUUGACGCUGAGGCGCGAAAGCCAGGGGAGCAAACGGG
rnacentral:rRNA from 1 species